rnacentral:rRNA from 1 species
UACGAAGGGGGGCUAGCGUUGUUCGGAUUUACUGGGCGUAAAGAGCUCGUAGGUGGUUUGUCGCGUUGUUCGUGAAAAACUCACAGCUUAACUGUGGGCGUGCGGGCGAUACGGGCAGACUUGAGUACUGCAGGGGAGACUGGAAUUCCUGGUGUAGCGGUGGAAUGCGCAGAUAUCAGGAGGAACACCGGUGGCGAAGGCGGGUCUCUGGGCAGUAACUGACGCUGAGGAGCGAAAGCGUGGGGAGCAAACAGG